AAGAUGGUGCAGCAUUGAACUGAAGUUAAAUUGGCUGAAACACUAACAAUGUUUUGAAAUUAUAGAAGAAACUCUGCAUGAUCUAUGGAGAUGGGUGGGAAAAAAUCUGCAUUGAUAAGUUUUGCCAGGACCACCGUUUGAAGAUGAUAAUUGGAUUUCUCUUCUUUGAUUGCACUUUUCGACCUGAUUUUCUUUUCUCAGUUCUGUUCUAUGCGGAUGUAUUUCUAUCUUUAAGGAUUCUGUUUUCUUGACUUCCACCCUGCUCUCAG
rnacentral:misc_RNA from 1 species